GGCUCCAUAGCUCAGUGGUUAGAGCACUGGUCUYGUAAACCAGGGGUCGUGAGUUCAAUCCUCACUGGGGCCU
rfam:Scleropages formosus scaffold17872, whole genome shotgun sequence.